GAUGAACGCUGGCGGCGUGCCUAAUACAUGCAAGUCGAGCGAAUGGAUUAAGAGCUUGCUCUUAUGAAGUUAGCGGCGGACGGGUGAGUAACACGUGGGUAACCUGCCCAUAAGACUGGGAUAACUCCGGGAAACCGGGGCUAAUACCGGAUAACAUUUUGAACCGCAUGGCUCGAAAUUGAAAGGCGGCUUCGGCUGUCACUUAUGGAUGGACCCGCGUCGCAUUAGCUAGUUGGUGAGGUAACGGCUCACCAAGGCAACGAUGCGUAGCCGGCGUGAGUGGGGAAUCGGCCACGCUAGGACGGAGACACGGCCCAGACUCCUAAGGGAGGCAGCAGUAGGGAAUCUUCCGCAAUGGACGAAGGUCUGACGGGGCAACGCCGCGUGAGUGAUGAAGGCUUUCGGGUCGUAAAACUCUGUUGUUAGGGAAGAACAAGUGCUAGUUGAAUAAGCUGGCACCUUGACGGUACCUAACCAGAAAGCCACGGCUAACUACGUGCCAGCCGCCGCCGUAA
rnacentral:rRNA from 1 species